GACGAACGCUGGCGGCGUGCCUAAUACAUGCAAGUAGAACGCACAGUUUAUACCGUAGCUUGCUACACCAUAGACUGUGAGUUGCGAACGGGUGAGUAACGCGUAGGUAACCUGCCUGGUAGCGGGGGAUAACUAUUGGAAACGAUAGCUAAUACCGCAUAAUAUUAAUUAUUGCAUGAUAAUUAAUUGAAAGGUGCAAUUGCACCACUACCAGAUGGACCUGCGUUGUAUUAGCUAGUAGGUGAGGUAACGGCUCACCUAGGCGACGAUACAUAGCCGACCUGAGAGGGGGAUCGGCCACACUGGGAAUGAGACAAGGCCCAGACUCCUAAGGGAGGCAGCAGUAGGGAAUCUUCGGCAAUGGAGGAAAGUCUGACCGAGCAAAGCCGCGUGAGUGAAGAAGGGUUUCGGAUCGUAAAGCUCUGUUGUAAGAGAAGAACGGGUGUGAGAGUGGAAAGUUCACACUGUGACGGUAUCUUACCAGAAAGGGACGGCUAACUACGUG
rnacentral:rRNA from 1 species